GUGCCAGCAGCCGCGGUAAUACAGAGGGUGCAAGCGUUGCUCGGAUUUACUGGGCGUAAAGCGUACGCAGACGGCUUGGAAGGUCGGACGUGAAAGCCCCGGGCUCAACCCGGGAAAUGCGUCCGAAACCACCUUGCUUGAGUAUGAGAGAGGGAAGCGGAAUUCCUGGUGUAGAGGUGAAAUUCGUAGAUAUCAGGAGGAACAUCUGCGGCGAAGGCGGCUUCCUGGCUCAUUACUGACGUUCAGGUACGAAAGCGUGGGUAGCAAACAGGAUUAGAUACCCUGGUAGUCC
rnacentral:rRNA from 1 species